GUAGGUGGCAAGCGUUGUCCGGAAUUAUUGGGCGUAAAGCGCGCGCAGGCGGUUCUUUAAGUCUGAUGUGAAAGCCCACGGCUCAACCGUGGAGGGUCAUUGGAAACUGGAGAACUUGAGUACAGAAGAGGAAAGCGGAAUUCCACGUGUAGCGGUGAAAUGCGUAGAGAUGUGGAGGAACACCAGUGGCGAAGGCGGCUUUCUGGUCUGUAACUGACGCUGAGGCGCGAAAGCGUGGGGGAGCAAACAGGAUUAGAUACCCUGGUAGUCCGCGCCGUAAACGAUGAGUGCUAAGUGUUAGGGGGUUUCCGCCCCUUAGUGCUGCAGCUAACGCAUUAAGCACUCCGCCCUGGGAGUACGGCCGCAAGGCUG
rnacentral:rRNA from 1 species